AUUGAACUCAAGGUUUAGUUUCAUUGGUGUUUUGCUGACAAUUUGCCAGAUCUAACUUGCCAACUUUUUCUAUUUCUUUCAGCCUAUGAUGCCACCUUAUGCAGCACUUUAUUCACCUGGAGGGGUUUAUACUCAUCCUACCAUUCUUAUUGGUCUAUGUUCUCACUCUGGACAUUUUUAUUGAGGAACAAAAAGGCAAAGUUUUCUUGUGAGAAAAGUAGUGAUGAAGAAGAAGAAGCAGCAGCAGAAAGAGCAAGUGAAGUGAAUUUUGCAGAUGAGAUAAGUGGAAUUAACAUAGGACCUCCUUCACCAACUUCAUCUAUUAAUUAUUAGAGCAGCGAAAAUUGUUCAAAUAAGUUAGGAAAUUGAAUAGGAGUUGCUUGAAAUAUAGGUCUUUUAAUUUACUAGUAUGAGAAAAAUCAUUUAGAGCUCUUUGGAUACCCAUUAACAACUUUUAAUUUACUCAAUAGACUUUGUUGAUGUAUGUUUGUUACUUAUUAUUAUAGUUGAUGUAUCAAUACACUUUGUUUAUAUUUUGAAUUAUAUUGACUUGCUUGUUUAUAGUA